UACAUUGAUACAUGCCCCUAAGUUUGGAAUAACAUCAAGAAAUUGAUGCUAAUACCAAAUAUACCUUACGAGGGAAAGAUUUAUCGCUUAGGGAUUGGUCAAUGGCCUAUCAGCUAGUUGGUGGGGUAAAGGCCUACCAAGGCUAUGACAGGUAGCUGGUUUGAGAGGAUGAUCAGCCACACUGGAACUGAGACACGGUCCAGACUCCUACGGGAGGCAGCAGUAGGGAAUAUUGCACAAUGGACGAAAGUCUGAUGCAGCAAUGCCGCGUGGAGGAUGACGCAUUUAGGUGUGUAAACUCCUUUUAUAUAGGAAGAUAAUGACGGUACUAUAUGAAUAAGCACCGGCUAACUCCGUGCCAGCGGCAGC
rnacentral:rRNA from 1 species